AGAAGAAGAAGACGCUAUCUCGCAGGGUUCAAAACCAGAAAAUACCUUCACGUUACGGCCUGAAAUCAAGUCUCAUCUAGCAGGAAAAGAAGCAGAAAAGCCUGUAAAAUGAGUGUGUAUGAGGAGAGAGAGCAGGAGUCUUCUGUUGACACUCAGAGAGCAGCAUCUCCAGGAUUCAGCUGUGUGUCUAUGAAGAGUAACAACUCCAUGAUUAUUCCUCCUGAUCUCAGUGAUGUUGACGCUCAGAGAGCAGCAUCUCCAGGAUUCAGCUGUGUUUCUAUGAAGAGCAACAACUCCAUGCAUCAGCCCCCUAAAUUC